UACAGAGGGGGCGAGCGUUAUUCGGAAUUAUUGGGCGUAAAGGGCGCGUAGGCGGCUUUUCAAGUGACGGGUGAAAUCCCUCGGCUUAACCGAGGAACUGCCUGUCAGACUGGAAGGCUUGAGACCGGGAGAGGUGAGUGGAAUUCCCAGUGUAGCGGUGAAAUGCGUAGAUAUUGGGAGGAACACCAGUGGCGAAGGCGGCUCACUGGUCCGGUACUGACGCUGAGGUGCGAAAGCGUGGGGAGCAAACAGG
rnacentral:rRNA from 1 species